rnacentral:rRNA from 1 species
GAACUGAAGAGUUUGAUCCUGGCUCAGAUUGAACGCUGGCGGCAUGCCUUACACAUGCAAGUCGAACGGUAACGCGGGGCAACCUGGCGACGAGUGGCGAACGGGUGAGUAAUAU